rnacentral:rRNA from 1 species
AAUCUUCCACAAUGGGCGAAAGCCUGAUGGAGCAAUGCCGCGUGCAGGAAGACGCUUUUCGGAGUGUAAACUGCUUUUCUGAAGGAAGAUUAUGACGGUACUUCAGGAAUAAGGAUCGGCUAACUACGUGCCAGCAGCCGCGGUAAUACGUAGGAUCCAAGCGUUAUCCGGAAUUACUGGGCGUAAAGCGUGCGCAGACGGUUUGAUAGGUCGAUUGCGAAAUCCCGUGGCUCAACCAUGUGGACUGUAAUCGAAACCAUCUGACUAGAGGUAGGUAGAGGCAAGUGGAAUUUCUGGUGUAGGGGUGACAUCCGUAGAUAUCAGAAGGAACACCAAUGGCGAAGGCAGCUUGCUGGGCCUUACCUGACGUUCAGGCACGAAAGCGUGGGGAGCAAACAGG